GAUGGACGCUGGCGGCGUGCCUAAUACAUGCAAGUCGAGCGAACGGACGAGAAGCUUGCUUCUCUGAUGUUAGCGGCGGACGGGUGAGUAACACGUGGAUAACCUACCUAUAAGACUGGGAUAACUUCGGGAAACCGGAGCUAAUACCGGAUAAUAUUUUGAACCGCAUGGUUCAAAAGUGAAAGACGGUCUUGCUGUCACUUAUAGAUGGAUCCGCGCUGCAUUAGCUAGUUGGUAAGGUAACGGCUUACCAAGGCAACGAUGCAUAGCCGACCUGAGAGGGUGAUCGGCCACACUGGAACUGAGACACGGUCCAGACUCCUACGGGAGGCAGCAGUAGGGAAUCUUCCGCAAUGGGCGAAAGCCUGACGGAGCAACGCCGCGUGAGUGAUGAAGGUCUUCGGAUCGUAAAACUCUGUUAUUAGGGAAGAACAUAUGUGUAAGUAACUGUGCACAUCUUGACGGUACCUAAUCAGAAAGCCACGGCUAACUACGUGCCAGCAGCCGCGGUAAUACGUAGGUGGCAAGCGUUAUCCGGAAUUAUUGGGCGUAAAGCGCGCGUAGGCGGUUUUUUAAGUCUGAUGUGAAAGCCCACGGCUCAACCGUGGAGGGUCAUUGGAAACUGGAAAACUUGAGUGCAGAAGAGGAAAGUGGAAUUCCAUGUGUAGCGGUGAAAUGCGCAGAGAUAUGGAGGAACACCAGUGGCGAAGGCGACUUUCUGGUCUGUAACUGACGCUGAUGUGCGAAAGCGUGGGGAUCAAACAGGAUUAGAUACCCUGGUAGUCCACGCCGUAAACGAUGAGUGCUAAGUGUUAGGGGGUUUCCGCCCCUUAGUGCUGCAGCUAACGCAUUAAGCACUCCGCCUGGGGAGUACGACCGCAAGGUUGAAACUCAAAGGAAUUGACGGGGACCCGCACAAGCGGUGGAGCAUGUGGUUUAAUUCGAAGCAACGCGAAGAACCUUACCAAAUCUUGACAUCCUUUGACAACUCUAGAGAUAGAGCUUUCCCCUUCGGGGGACAAAGUGACAGGUGGUGCAUGGUUGUCGUCAGCUCGUGUCGUGAGAUGUUGGGUUAAGUCCCGCAACGAGCGCAACCCUUAAGCUUAGUUGCCAUCAUUAAGCUGGGCACUCUAAGUUGACUGCCGGUGACAAACCGGAGGAAGGUGGGGAUGACGUCAAAUCAUCAUGCCCCUUAUGAUUUGGGCUACACACGUGCUACAAUGGACAAUACAAAGGGCAGCGAAACCGCGAGGUCAAGCAAAUCCCAUAAAGUUGUUCUCAGUUCGGAUUGUAGUCUGCAACUCGACUACAUGAAGCUGGAAUCGCUAGUAAUCGUAGAUCAGCAUGCUACGGUGAAUACGUUCCCGGGUGU
rnacentral:rRNA from 1 species